rnacentral:rRNA from 1 species
UACAGAGGGGGCAAGCGUUGUUCGGAAUUACUGGGCGUAAAGGGCGCGUAGGCGGCCUGCUAAGUCGAACGUGAAAUCCCUGGGCUCAACCCAGGAACUGCGUCCGAUACUGGUUGGCUUGAAUCCGGGAGAGGGACGUGGAAUUCCAGGUGUAGCGGUGAAAUGCGUAGAUAUCGUUUGGAACGCCGAUGGUGAAAACAGGUCGCUGGGGGCUCGCUGACGCUGAGACACGAAAGCCAGGGGAGCGAACGGG